rnacentral:rRNA from 1 species
UACGUAGGGUGCAAGCGUUGUCCGGAAUUAUUGGGCGUAAAGAGCUCGUAGGCGGUCUGUCGCGUCGGACGUGAAACCCAGGGCUCAACCCUGGGCCUGCGUUCGAUACGGGCAGACUAGAGUUCGGUAGGGGAGACUGGAAUUCCUGGUGUAGCGGUGAAAUGCGCAGAUAUCAGGAGGAACACCGGUGGCGAAGGCGGGUCUCUGGGCCGAUACUGACGCUGAGGCGCGAAAGCCAGGGAGCGAAUGGG